UUCAGUGUUGAUAUCAGUUAAGGGAAACCUCUCUAUUCUAUUAAUUAAACUAUUGGACUUUGAAAUUGGCUGAGGGAAAUGACUGAAUAGAGAGUAUUAGAAUACUCAUAUACUUCUUGCCUAGAUAG